rnacentral:rRNA from 1 species
AGAGUUUGAUCCUGGCUCAGAAUCAACGCUGGCGGCGUGCCUAACACAUGCAAGUCGAACGAGAAAGUGGAGCAAUCCAUGAGUAAAGUGGCGACCGGGUGAGUAACACGUGACUAACCUACCUUCGAGUGGGGGAUAACAUCGGGAAACCGAUGCUAAUACCGCAUAACAUCGCAAGAUCAAAGCAGCAAUGCGCUGGAAGAGGGGGUCGCGGCUGAUUAGCUAGUUGGCGGGGUAACGGCCCACCGAGGCGAAGAUCGGUAGCCGGCCUGAGAGGGCGCACGGCCACACUGGAACUGAAACACGGUCCAGACUCCUACGGGAGGCAGCAGUGGGGAAUUUUGCGCAAUGGGGGAAACCCUGACGCAGCAACGCCGCGUGGAGGAUGAAGCCCCCUUGGGGCGUAAACUCCUUUCGACCAAGACGAUAAUGACCGGCACUGGUGGAAGAAGCACCGGCCUAACUCUGUGCCAGCAGCCGCGGUA